UUGGUCUCCCUGUUGGUGGCAGAGGAACUGUGACGAAAGCAUCAAAGAGGUGGAUUUUAUUUCAGAAUAGGCCCGUGUAUACCCUUCUUUCUCUUCCUUAGAUGGAUCGUGAUGUGCCGAAGUCUUCCCAACUCUCACUGAGGAGUGAGGUUGAGAGUAGGCGUGUAAGGGCCCACAUUUUUUGGGGCUUGGGCUAGCCCGACACACCUGAAACGGGAGGGAGACUCCCGAAUAGAGUCUUCCCUCCCCUGUUUCUAUUGCUCCCAUGAAUCCACCGGAAGAGGAAACAAAGAAAAAAAAAAGAGAGAGGGAGACGGGAUCAAAUCCUACCUUAUUUGAAUCAAUUUACAUCUAUAAAAAAAAGAAUCUCUUCCCCUCUUCCUUAGGGCAUCAACCGAGAGUCUUUCCACAAAAAAAAAAAGGGGAGAAAAGAGGGAUUUGGAGUUCUAGGCGAUCCGUGGGAGAAGCUCGGGUUGCUCGCCGUUGGACCAGCCGGAAAGGCUCGCCGGAGGCAAGGGGAACAAUUUGUUGGACGAAAGGACGCUGAGCAGGGUUCUGCAUAUCCGGAUUUAUAGAUCGCCGUGAGGGUGGGUGAUUAGUCUGUCCGAGUUAACAAAGGAGUUACAUGAUGCAUUGAUUUGGACAGGAUGGGCGCAGAGUGCAAGUACCCGAGUCAUUAGUUAGUUGGUUUGUUUAUCUUUCUUUGAUGUUGAUGAACAUUUGAAG